GCAGAGCCUGCGGCAUCUCCCAGCGUCCGUCCUCACCUCACCUGCACGUGUCAGCUGGAAGUACAGCCACCUGCAGGGAAGACUGCGCAUCCCAGCCCACCUGGCCUUGAGGGACAAGCUGGAACUUGAGGGUUUCUGUGAAGUUCAAGGAGUGAACGCAGUUCCCAGAAGCAGCCUGGCACAGAGCAAGUGCCUCUUGCCUGUUGACUACCUUAUCAGCGCUCACCUAGUGCCUCGUGUUUGCUUUCUGGCCUCACUGGUCUUUCCCGAAACCAGCAGGAAUUCUGGCGGGCAGGAGCACCCGCAUCCUCCGUGGAGCUCAACAGGACGUGGUGAGCUGUAGAGCACUGAUUCUUUUAUGAGGGCUGGAGAAUUAGUCACACUGUAUUUAAGCAUUGGCUCUUGGAACGCAAGUGGGUUUUAUGAAAAGCUGGGUAUUUCAGCUUUCAGCUACCAACUAAACUACCACAGAAAGCGCUGCUGAUUUAACGUAUUUCAGCAGAACUCCAGGUCUGAGUAUUUCUGAUUCCCAGAGGAGGAGACAGCAUGUUCUGCCUGGGACGACUGAGCCCCUUGUCUCUGCACUGAUUGUUUCUUCUGCAUCCCGACUGUCCGGAACAGACUGGCCGACUGUCGGGAACGACGUGGCCCACAGUGCUGUGCCCUCAGUUCUUCCUCUGGACGUUUGAGUUUCUAAGUCCUCAAGACACACACGUGUUUCUCCGUGCAGAGGAGGCACCUCCCCAGCGCACGUGCACGGCAGCCGGGGUUCAGACGAGGUGCGCUCUGCUCCGCGGCUGUGCCGAGCCGUCCCCAGAGCCCCCGUGUGGGGUGUGGGGCAGGCGUCAGGACUCUGCAGCCUGAGAGUCCCUGCACUGCCGUUUAGCACUGGGGUGACUUUGGAUGAGUCAUUUCCACUCUGAGCCCUGGUUUCUCAGCUCAGUUAGUAACAAGACCCGUCACGAGGGUCGCUGCGGACCGCACUGACAUUCAACCCCGGGCACAGGUGCGUUUUGUGGAAGGCUCUCAAUACAGGGCAGCUGUGACUAUUAGCAGGCCGCGUGUGCGUCCUCCUCUCACCUCGGCAGUUCUGGGGCAUCUCCCUCACGGUGCCAGCACAACAGCUGCAUCCCUUUCCUUCCACUGGGGGUGGGCUGGUGGCCUUUCCUGCUCUCUUGGCCCCCGAGGAGGAAGUGCCAAGGGUUGUGCUCUCUGCUGCCUUCUUGAGGGACACUCGGGCCUGUCUGGGGGGCUCAGAGGCUGAGGCGGGGCUGGAGGGCACUGUGCCCGGUGAGGUCCAGGGUGGGACCUGCUCUGCUCCCAGGGCAGCAAAGCCCCCGGGGAGGAUGGGUCGGCCCGUGAGGACAGCGAGCUGCAAAGCAGAAGGAAACAUUCCUAAACGCUCAGUGCCAACAGACCCACGUUGUGCGACCAUGCUGGAGGGCGGCUGAGUCGUCCUCCUCUGAGUGUGGUGCAGACGGUGAGAACCUCAGCACAAGCCGGCCAGGGGAGGGACGUCAGCUGGGAUGAGCUCCGUCCCCUGAAGAGCCGCCUGUUCUCCUCGCUCCGCGCCCCGUCUUCCCGUUCACGGUGCUGUCGGCCCCCCCAGGGCAGGGACACCCUCGGCACGGGGGAGGUGGGUCACUAGUGAAUGAGUUGUUUGCAGUUGGCUUUGGAGACACACGGAGGUGAUGGGCGCACAACAUUGUGGAUGCAGCUAUUGCCACCGAGUUGUGCACCUAAAAAUGGUUAAAAUGGCAACUUUUAUAUUCAUUUUCUUUACCACAGUUAAAAAAAAACUCAGAUCAAUGAGUGGUAAAAUGUGAGAAAGGUAACCUUAAAGUUAAAAAAUAGGAGAUUAUCUUAAUGACUUUGGGACAGAAAAGCCCACAAAUGCACAAGUCAUAGAGGAAAACAUUGAUACAUUUAAAUAAGUAACAUUGAAAAAGUCACCGGAAACCACCUGAAAAUAAAAGCCGCAAACUGGGCAAACACAGAGUCACAAUGAAUAUGAGCGGAAAAGAAUUAGCAUAACUUGUAAAGGAAUUCCACGCAGCUACGGGAAAGUAGCACAACCCCAACUAGACAGAGCCCACGGGCAGGCAACUCACAGGAGAGAAACCGGCAGGCAGGGAAGAUGGAGGGACGGAGCUCGGCUGCUGUGCACGGCCGUGCCCUGGCCCCGAGUGGGACAUGCAUCUCUGCUCCGCUGGCCGAGGAGCGAGGGUCUGACCAGGCCCCGUGCGGGGACGCAGAGCUGCAGGGGCUGAGUGUGGGGACCGGAGCCCACGCUGGAGGUCGGGCAAAUGUGAUGCAGGCAGGUCACGCACCUCGAGUUCCAGGGGUCGCCCUCCAGCACCCCGGGGAACCCACACCCGAGUAGAAUUUUAUUUUGGAAUUGCGAGAAACUGAAAAUGCCCAUCUGCAAGGGAAGAAAGUGAUCAAGCUUGGCGCAGUAACACACCAAAUACUGAAUAACCAAGAGCUGCAGGCACCGCCGCCAUUGGUGGCAUCAGGGCGCAGCCGCUGCUGCAGCUGGCUGGGCUGGGUUUCCGAAGGGCCCAAAGUGGGGCUCGGAGUCCAGGGAAUUCCAAGGUGGCAGUUCCGGGUGGGGCCCCUGGACCCCUGUAGGCCACGGGGUGGAUUUUGACAAGUGGAGAAGGCGGAUGACGACGAAGUGUCCCUUGGAAAGUUGAAGGACAGCAGAUAGGCCCGUGUGGCCGGGACUGGGGACAAGACAGGAAGCAGCUCGGCCUGGAUCUGGCAGGAGUCUCGCCCGGCGGGGAGGCGGCCAAGAAAGUGAGAGUGUUCACUCUUGAAUUUAUGUUUUUAGUUCUAUUUCAUUUGACAAUGAAAGUAUGGUUUUAUAUUGUUUUAUUUUAA